AACGAACGCUGGCGGCAUGCCUAACACAUGCAAGUCGAACGAGACCUUCGGGUCUAGUGGCGCACGGGUGCGUAACGCGUGGGAACCUGCCCUUAGGUUCGGAAUAACUCCCCGAAAGGGGUGCUAAUACCGGAUAAUGUCUUCGGACCAAAGAUUUAUCGCCUUUGGAUGGGCCCGCGUUGGAUUAGCUAGUUGGUAGGGUAAAAGCCUACCAAGGCGACGAUCCAUAGCUGGUCUGAGAGGAUGAUCAGCCACACUGGGACUGAGACACGGCCCAGACUCCUACGGGAAGCAGCAGUGGGGAAUAUUGGACAAUGGGCGAAAGCCUGAUCCAGCAAUGCCGCGUGAGUGAUGAAGGCCUUAGGGUUGUAAAGCUCUUUUACCCGGGAUGAUAAUGACAGUACCGGGAGAAUAGGCUCCGGCUAACUCGGUG
rnacentral:rRNA from 1 species